rnacentral:rRNA from 1 species
AAUAAUAAAUAUGGUGCCCUCUAUAUGCAAGAAAACUGUUUUCCUUAAGCAGGGUCAGGCCUGGUUAGUACUUGGAUGGGUGACCACCUAGGAAGACCAGGUGCUGUAGACA